UCAUUGGUGGUUCACUGGUAGAAUUCUUUCCUUCUAUGUAGGACACCCAGGUUUGAUUCCUAGCCAAUGCA
rnacentral:tRNA from 1 species